GUGUGUGUGUGUUUGUUAGUGUGUGCAAAUCAGCAAGUGUGUGUGCCUGUCAGUGAGUGUGUCUGUUUAGGUGACUGCCCCCCCCCCCUUUCAAUCACAUGGGAAAGGGGUUUCUACUCUUCUCUUGGUGCAAUGGGCCACUUGACUGGUUUUCCCCACCAGGCCUAAGGCUGCCAGCCAUCCCCUGGUCACAAGCCACCAUGGCUGAUUAUCAUAAACAGUUAGCUGGGGGGGUUGAUUUUAAACUGAUACAUGCUAUGAUUUUGGGGUUCAGACACCACCAACUCAUGUUAAAUCAUUAAACUGGCAUGGCCACUUUAUAAAUACCACAAGGGAAGACAAACCACACACACACACA